GAUGAAGAACGCAGCGAAAUGCGAUACGUAAUGUGAAUUGCAGAAUUCAGUGAAUCAUCGAGUCUUUGAACGCACAUUGCGCCCCCUGGUAUUCCGGGGGGCAUGCCUGUCCGAGCGUCAUUGCUGCCCUCAAGCACGGCUUGUGUGUUGGGCCUCCGUCCUCCUCCCGGGGGACGGGCCCAAAAGGCAGCGGCGGCACCGCGUCCGGUCCUCGAGCGUAUGGGGCUUCGUCACCCGCUCUUGUAGGCCCGGCCGGCGCUUGCCGACACAUCAAUCUUUUUUCCAGGUUGACCUCGGAUCAGGUAGGGAUACCCGCUGAACUUAAGCAUAUCAAUAAGCGGAGGA
rnacentral:misc_RNA from 1 species